ACUCCUACGGGAGGCAGCAGUAGGGAAUCUUCCACAAUGGACGAAAGUCUGAUGGAGCAACGCCGCGUGAGUGAAGAAGGGUUUCGGCUCGUAAAACUUUGUUGUUAAAGAAAGAACAUAUCUGAGAGUAACUGUUCAGGUAUUGACGGUAUUUAACCAGAAAGCCACGGCUAACUACGUGCCAGCAGCCGCGGUAAUACGUAGGUGGCAAGCGUUGUCCGGAUUUAUUGGGGCGUAAAGCGAGCGCAGGCGGUUUUUAAGUCUGAUGUGAAAGCCUUCGGCUCAACCGAAGAAGUGCAUCGGAAACUGGGGAAACUUGAGUGCAGAAGAGGACAGUGGAACUCCAUGUGUAGCGGUGAAAUGCGUAGAUAUAUGGAAGAACACCAGUGGCGAAGGCGGCUGUCUGGUCUGUAACUGACGCUGAGGCUCGAAAGUAUGGGUAGCAAACAGGAUUAGAUACCCUGGUAGGAUAGCG
rnacentral:rRNA from 1 species